rnacentral:rRNA from 1 species
GACGAACGCUGGCGGCGUGCCUAAUACAUGCAAGUCGAGCGAAGUUUUUCUGGUGCUUGCACUAGAAAAACUUAGCGGCGAACGGGUGAGUAACACGUAAAGAACUUGCCUCACAGAUAGGGACAACAUUUGGAAAUGAAUGCUAAUACCUGAUAUUAUGAUUUUAGGGCAUCCUAGGAUUAUGAAAGCUAUAUGCGCUGUGAGAGAGCUUUGCGUCCCAUUAGCUAGUUGGAGAGGUAACGGCUCACCAAGGCGAUGAUGGGUAGCCGGCCUGAGAGGGUGAUCGGCCACAAGGGGACUGAGACACGGCCCUUACUCCUACGGGAGGCAGCAGUGGGGAAUAUUGGACAAUGGACCAAGAGUCUGAUCCAGCAAUUCUGUGUGCACGAUGAAGUUUUUCGGAAUGUAAAGUGCUUUCAGUUGGGAAGAAAAAAAUGACGGUACCAACAGAAGAAGUGACGGCUAAAUACGUGCCAGCAGCCGCGGUAAUACGUAUGUCACAAGCGUUAUCCGGAUUUAUUGGGCGUAAAGCGCGUCUAGGUGGUUAUAUAAGUCUGAUGUGAAAAUGCAGGGCUCAACUCUGUAUUGCGUUGGAAACUGUGUAACUAGAGUACUGGAGAGGUAAGCGGAACUACAAGUGUAGAGGUGAAAUUCGUAGAUAUUUGUAGGAAUGCCGAUGGGGAAGCCAGCUUACUGGACAGAUACUGACGCUGAAGCGCGAAAGCGUGGGUAGCAAACAGG